ACAGCAGUAGCCACGGGAAUACGGAGGGGGCUAGCGUUGUUCGGAAUUACUGGGCGUAAAGCGCACGUAGGCGGCUUGGUAAGUUAGAGGUGAAAGCCUGGAGCUCAACUCCAGAAUUGCCUUUAAGACUGCCGAGCUAGCAGGUGAGAGAGGUAAGUGGAAUUCCGAGUGUAGAGGUGAAAUUCGUAGAUAUUCGGAAGAACACCAGUGGCGAAGGCGGCUUACUGGCUCAUACUGGACGCUGAGGUGCGAAAGCGUGGGGAGCAAACAGGAUUAGAUACCCGCGUAGUCCCUGUCUCUUAUAC
rnacentral:rRNA from 1 species